rnacentral:rRNA from 1 species
UAGGAUUCCCUCAGUAAUGGCGAAUGAACAGGGAAAAGCUCAGUAUGGAAAUUGGGGCCUCUGGCCUUGAAUUGUAGUCUUGAGAUGGCAUUGCCAGCGGAGGCGCAGAUGUAAGCCUAUUGGAAAAUAGCAUCAAUGAGGGUGAGAGUCCCGUUUGUCAUCUGCAGUCCCCCGUGCACGGUGUGCUUUCUAAGAGUCACGUUCCUUGGGAUUGGAGCGCAAAUUGGGUGGUAAAUUUCAUCUAAAGCUAAAUAUUGGUUCGAGACCGAUAGCAAACAAGUACCAUGAGGGAAAGGUGAAAAGGACUUUGAAAAGAGAGUUAAAAGUGCCUGAAAUUGCUGAAAGGGAAGCGAAUGGAACCAGUCUUCUUGGUGAGAUUGGUGCACGCUAUAGUGAUUGCUCGCUGCUUCAACGCAAGUGUUGCAGUGGGUUUUGAUCUUGACGUGUGUGCUGCUUCUUACCUCGUGUGUCAACGUCGGUUCGGAAUUGAGGAAAACUCUAGGGACAUGGUAUCUCUGUUGCGGUGGAGUGAAUGUGCCUGGUAGAACUCAUUUCUUAACUGAUUUCUGCAUGUCUGGUCGCAGUGUUUCAUUACCUGUGUCUGGUUCUGCGCUUGUAGCUUCUGUUGCAGGUUGUGGUUCUGGGCCUGGUCGUGGAGCAUCUCCCUGACAUUAGUACGAUGACAAAAUGGUUUCAUUCGACCCGUCUUGAAACACGGACCAAGGAGUCUAACAUAUGUGCAAGUUCAUGGGUGUUAAACCUAAUUGCGCAAUGAAAGUGACUGCUGGGAUAUUUGCACCAGCAACCGACCAAUCAAUUGUGAGAGGUUUGAGUAUGAGCAUAUCUGUUAGGACCCGAAAGAUGGUGAACUAUGCGUGAGAAGGGUGAAGUCAGGGGAA